rnacentral:rRNA from 1 species
AGAGCGAACGCUGGCGGCAGGCUUAACACAUGCAAGUCGAGCGCCCCGCAAGGGGAGCGGCAGACGGGAGAGUAACACGUGGGAACGUACCUUUCGGUUCGGAACAACCCAGGGAAACUUGGGCUAAUACCGGAUACGUCCGUAAGGAGAAAGAUUUAUCGCCGAAAGAUCGGCCCGCGUCUGAUUAGCUAGUUGGUGAGGUAACGGCUCACCAAGGCGACGAUCAGUAGCUGGUCUGAGAGGAUGAUCAGCCUCACUGGGACUGAGACACGGCCCAGACUCCUACGGGAGGCAGCAGUGGGGAAUAUUGGACAAUGGGCGCAAGCCUGAUCCAGCCAUGCCGCGUGGGUGAUGAAGGCCCUAGGGUUGUAAAGCCCUUUCGGCGGGGUAAGAUAAUGACGGUACCCGCAGAAGAAGCCCCGGCUAACUUCGCGCCAGCAGCCGC